rnacentral:rRNA from 1 species
GAUACGUCUUCAGAGUUUUGAUCCUGGCUCAGGAUGAACGCUGACAGAAUGCUUUAACACAUGCAAGUCGACUCGAGUCUUGGACUUUGGGUGGCGCACGGGUGAGUAACGCGUAAAGAACUUGCCUCUUAGACCGGGACAACAUCUGGAAACGGAUGCUAAUACCGGAUAUUAUGGUUUUUUCGCAUGGAGGAAUCAUGAAAGCUAGAUGCGCUAAGAGAGAGCUUUGCGUCCCAUUAGCUAGUUGGUGAGGUAACGGCCCACCAAGGCAAUGAUGGGUAGCCGGCCUGAGAGGGUGAACGGCCACAAGGGGACUGAGACACGGCCCUU